GAUGAAGAACGUAGUGAAAUGCGAUAAUUAAUGUGAAUUGCAGAAUUCAGUGAAUCAUCGAGUCUUUGAACGCACAUUGCGCCCCCUGGUAUUCCGGGGGGCAUGCCUGUCCGAGCGUCAUUGCUGCCCUCAAGCACGGCUUGUGUGUUGGGCUUCCGUCCCUGGCAACGGGGACGGGCCCAAAAGGCAGUGGCGGCACCAUGUCUGGUCCUCGAGCGUAUGGGGCUUUGUCACCCGCUCCCGUAGGUCCAGCUGGCAGCUAGCCUCGCAACCAAUCUUUUUAACCAGGUUGACCUCGGAUCAGGUAGGGUUACCCGCUGAACUUAAGCAUAUCAAUAAGCGGAGGA
rnacentral:misc_RNA from 1 species